GACGAACGCUGGCGGCGUGCUUAACACAUGCAAGUCGAACGGAAAGGCCCUGCUUUUGUGGGGUGCUCGAGUGGCGAACGGGUGAGUAACACGUGAGUAACCUGCCCUUGACUUUGGGAUAACUUCAGGAAACUGGGGCUAAUACCGGAUAGGAGCUCCUGCUGCAGGGUGGGGGUGGGAAAGUUUCGGCGGUUGGGGAUGGACUCGCGGCUUAUCAGCUUGUUGGUGGGGUAGUGGCUGACCAAGGCUUUGACGGGUAGCCGGCCUGGGAGGGUGACCGGCCACAUUGGGCCUGAGAUACGGCCCAGACUCCUACGGGAGGCAGCAGUGGGGAAUAUUGCACAAUGGGCGGAAGCCUGAUGCAGCAACGCCGCGUGCGGGAUGACGGCCUUCGGGUUGUAAACCGCUUUCGCCUGUGACGAAGCGUGAGUGACGGUAAUGGGUAAAGAAGCACCGGCUAACUACGUG
rnacentral:rRNA from 1 species